rnacentral:rRNA from 1 species
CCUACGGGUGGCAGCAGUGAGGAAUAUUGGUCAAUGGACGAGAGUCUGAACCAGCCAAGUAGCGUGAAGGAUGACUGCCCUAUGGGUUGUAAACUUCUUUUAUAUGGGAAUAAAACGUUCCACGUGUGGGAUUUUGUAUGUACCAUAUGAAUAAGGAUCGGCUAACUCCGUGCCAGCAGCCGCGGUAAUACGGAGGAUCCGAGCGUUAUCCGGAUUUAUUGGGUUUAAAGGGAGCGUAGGUGGAUUGUUAAGUCAGUUGUGAAAGUCUGCGGCUCAACCGUAAAACUGCAGUUGAAACUGGCAGUCUUGAGUACAGUAGAGGUGGGCGGAAUUCGUGGUGUAGCGGUGAAAUGCUUAGAUAUCACGAAGAACUCCGAUUGCGAAGGCAGUUCACUGGACUGCAACUGACACUGAGGCUCGAAAGUGUGGGUAUCAAACAGGAUUAGAUACCCGAGUAGUC